CCAAUGUGAAGCUUCCUUAAAUUCAAACCUGAAGUGCAGCCCUGCCGCUAUAAAUAUGGAAUUCACUAAUAUAACCCCCCAACGUCCAUUUUCUCUCAUCACCUUCCCCAAAAAUCUCCCCCCACACCACUCACUCUCUCUCUCUAUCUCUCCUUUGUGACGCGGCCAGUCAUGGCCGCCACAACAGCUACAUGCGACGUCCUAUGGCCAGCGAUGCUUUGUUAAGGUUGUUAUAACAUUCGAAGUACCGGCGUUUGAGUCCGUACAACGACUUUCUCUACUGGUCAAGAGCGUCUCUAAAACGUAGCUGUCACGAAAACUGCUCGUGGCGGCCGUCUUUAGAAAACCGUGGGGAAACCUCAAGUGAUUAACAGAACAGUCUGACUGUGUCGGAUUAGAUCGACACCGUUUUUGUUGGCGCGGUUGUUAGAAACCGUUGUCUUCUGUCUGUUGCGGCGGUUUUUAGAAAACAGUUGCGACUGUUGAGAGUACUUAAGGAGUUGUUAUACCGACAGUCGUGAUAAUAUCUGGAUCGAAAUGGCGGCGGCUUUAGCCGGGGAUGAUCUGGCGAGGUCGACCAGCAGCCGGAGGAGCUGGGCCUCUGGAAGCAAGCGGAGCUGGGCAUCCACGAGCUUCCGGGAGGUGUGGCAGGCGCCGCCGGACGUGUUCAGCCGGAGCGGGAGGCAGGAUGAGGAGGAAGAACUCCGGUGGGCCGCGAUCGAGCGGCUGCCGACUUAUGAUCGGCUGAGAAGAGGGAUGCUGAGGCAGGUGCUUGACAAUGGCAAAGUGGUGACUGAUGACGUGGAUGUGACCAAGCUGGGAAUGCAGGAUAAGAAGCAUUUGAUGGAGAGCAUAUUGAAGGUUGUGGAAGAUGACAAUGAAAGGUUUUUGAGGAGACUUAGGGACAGAACUGAUAGGGUGGGGAUUGAGAUUCCGAAGAUUGAAGUUCGGUUCGAGAAGCUGUCCAUCGAAGGAGAUGUGUAUGUGGGGAGCAGAGCACUGCCUACUCUGCUUAAUGCUACCUUGAACACUAUUGAGAGUGUUCUGGGAUUGCUUAAGCUUGCUCCAUCAAAGAAGAGAAAUAUCCAGAUACUUAAAGACGUUAGUGGAAUAGUGAGACCCUCCAGGAUGACCCUACUUCUGGGUCCUCCAGGUGCAGGCAAAACAACCUUGUUACUGGCACUUGCAGGGAAGCUUGAUGAUGACCUAAGGGUGUCUGGGAAAAUCACCUACUGUGGUCAUGAGUUGAAUGAGUUUGUUCCUAAGAGGACAUGUGCUUAUAUCAGUCAACAUGAUCUUCACUAUGGAGAAAUGACAGUGAGAGAGACAUUAGAUUUCUCGGGACGGUGUUUGGGUGUGGGAAGUAGAUAUCAAAUGUUGGCAGAACUCUCAAGAAGAGAGAAAGAAGCAGGAAUUAAGCCAGACCCUGAGAUUGAUGCAUUCAUGAAAGCCACCUCAGUGUCAGGCCAGAAGACUAGUUUGGUCACAGAUUAUGUUCUCAAGAUACUUGGAUUGGAUAUCUGUGCUGAUAUUAUGGUUGGUGAUGAUAUGAGAAGGGGUAUUUCUGGCGGACAGAAAAAGCGUGUGACGACUGGGGAGAUGUUGGUAGGACCAGCAAAGGUUCUUUUGAUGGAUGAAAUUUCAACAGGGUUAGACAGUUCCACUACCUUUCAGAUAUGCAGAUACAUGAGGCAAUUGGUUCACAUAAUGGAUGUAACCAUGGUCAUCUCUCUUCUUCAGCCAGCACCAGAGACAUUUGAGCUGUUUGAUGACCUUAUCUUACUUUCCGAAGGUCAGAUUGUGUACCAAGGCCCGCGCGAGAGCGUCCUAGAGUUCUUUGAAUACAUGGGCUUCAAAUGCCCUGAAAGGAAAGGAGUUGCUGACUUUUUGCAAGAAGUAACAUCCAAGAAGGACCAAGAACAAUAUUGGUUUAAGAAGGACCAACCUUAUAGAUAUAUUGCAGUUCCUGAGUUUGUUGAAUCCUUCAGCUUUUUUCGCACUGGCCAACAGCUUGCAGCUGAUCUUGGAGUUCCUUAUGACAAGUCCAGGGCUCAUCCAGCUGCACUGGUAACUGAGAAAUAUGGUAUUUCAAACUGGGAAUUGUUCAAGGCAUGUUUUUCAAGGGAGUGGCUGCUAAUGAAGCGCAAUUCUUUCGUAUACGUGUUCAAGACCACCCAGAUAACAAUCAUGUCACUGAUUGCCCUGACUGUGUUCCUUAGGACAGAAAUGCCGGUGGGCACAGUACAAGAUGGAGGAAAAUUUUUCGGUGCACUGUUUUUCAGUCUGAUUAAUGUGAUGUUUAAUGGUAUGGCUGAACUGGCAAUGACAGUUUUCAGGCUUCCUGUUUUCUAUAAGCAGAGGGAUUUCUUGUUUUAUCCUGCAUGGGCUUUUGGUUUGCCUAUUUGGGUCCUCAGGAUCCCCCUAUCAUUUAUGGAAUCAUGGAUAUGGAUCAUUCUUACCUAUUACACCAUUGGAUUUGCUCCAGCUGCUAGCAGAUUUUUCAAACAGUUCUUGGCAUUCUUUGGCAUACAUCAGAUGGCUCUGUCACUCUUUCGGUUCAUUGCCGCACUGGGAAGAACACAAGUUGUUGCAAAUACACUUGGCACCUUUACUUUGCUAAUGGUAUUUGUGCUGGGAGGAUUUAUUGUUGCCAAAAACGACAUUGAGCCUUGGAUGUUAUGGGGCUACUAUGUCUCUCCUAUGAUGUAUGGACAGAAUGCAAUCGUCAUGAAUGAAUUUCUCGAUAAAAGAUGGAGUGCGCCAAAUCCAGAUCCGAGAAUUAAUGAAACUACAGUUGGGAGAGUCCUCCUCAAGUCUAGAGGAUUCUUCACAGAUGAAUAUUGGUAUUGGAUAUGUGUUGGAGCACUAUUUGGGUUUUCUUUUCUCUUCAACAUUUUCUUCAUUGCAGCAUUGACUUUUCUGAACCCUCUUGGAGAUACAAAAGCUGUCAUAGCUGAUGAUGAAAGCGAGGGAAAGAGAAAGAAGACAUCAAGUGAAGAUAUAGAUAUGGCAGUGAAAAGUUAUUCAGAAAUUGUUGGUGGUUCAGAUCAUGCACCAAAGAAAGGAAUGGUUUUGCCCUUCCAACCCCUUUCACUUGCGUUUAACCAUGUGAACUACUACGUGGAUAUGCCUGCUGAAAUGAAGAGUCAAGGAGUUGAAGAAGAUCGCCUUCAACUGCUACGAGAUGUCAGCGGUGCUUUUAGACCAGGCAUAUUGACAGCACUUGUAGGUGUUAGUGGUGCUGGAAAGACAACUCUUAUGGACGUCUUAGCGGGAAGAAAGACUGGUGGCUAUAUUGAAGGGAGCAUUAGCAUCUCUGGUUAUCCAAAGAACCAAGAAACAUUUGCUCGUGUUAGCGGUUAUUGUGAACAGAAUGACAUUCAUUCUCCUCAUGUUACUGUCUACGAAUCUCUCCUGUAUUCAGCCUGGCUCCGUCUUACUUCAGAUGUAAAGACACAAACACGAAAGAUGUUUGUUGAAGAAGUCAUGGAACUGGUUGAGCUUAACCCAAUAAGAGAUGCUCUCGUUGGCCUUCCAGGAAUAGAUGGUCUUUCAACAGAACAAAGGAAGAGAUUAACCAUAGCUGUGGAGCUGGUUGCCAACCCCUCUAUCAUUUUCAUGGAUGAACCAACAUCUGGGCUUGAUGCCAGGGCUGCUGCUAUCGUUAUGCGUACUGUGAGAAACACAGUGGACACGGGGAGAACUGUCGUCUGCACAAUUCACCAGCCAAGUAUAGAUAUUUUCGAAGCUUUCGAUGAGUUACUUCUGAUGAAACGUGGAGGACAAGUCAUUUAUGCUGGACCUCUCGGUCGCCAAUCUCACAAGCUUGUAGAAUAUUUUGAAGCCGUCCCAGGGGUCACUAAGAUCAAAGAUGGUUACAAUCCUGCUACAUGGAUGCUUGAGGUCACUGCUCCUGCAGUUGAGGCUCAACUUGAUGUGGACUUUGCAGACAUUUAUGCCAAGUCCUCACUUUACCAGAGGAACCAGGAGCUUAUCCAAGAUCUUAGUACUGCGGCGCCAGGGUCCAAGGAUCUCUACUUCCCAACCAAAUACUCCCAACCUUUCUCUGUUCAGUGCAAAGCCUCUUUCUGGAAAAUGCAUUGGUCUUAUUGGAGAAACCCUCAGUACAAUGCCAUUCGAUUCUUCAUGACAAUAGUCAUUGGUUGUUUAUUUGGUCUUAUCUUCUGGCAAAAGGGACAGCAGACAACCCAACAGCAAGAUCUCAUGAACCUUUUGGGAGCCAUGUAUGCUGCUGUGCUUUUCCUUGGAGCCACCAAUGCUUCCGCGGUCCAAUCUGUUGUUGCUAUCGAAAGAACAGUUUUCUACCGCGAAAGAGCUGCUGGGAUGUAUUCUGAACUGCCUUAUGCAUUUGCUCAGGUGGCCAUAGAGACAAUCUAUGUUGCAAUUCAAACUUUUAUUUACACUCUUCUCCUCUAUUCUAUGAUUGGAUUUGAGUGGAAAGUAGGCAAAUUCCUGUGGUUCUACUACUACAUUCUAAUGUGCUUCGUCUACUUCACAAUGUAUGGUAUGAUGGUGGUUGCACUAACUCCAGGCCACCAGAUUGCUGCCAUUGUUAUGUCCUUCUUCCUCAGUUUCUGGAACUUGUUUUCUGGCUUUCUCAUUCCUAGGCCGCAAAUUCCUAUCUGGUGGAGGUGGUACUACUGGGCUUCACCUGUGGCCUGGACACUUUAUGGCCUUGUGACCUCUCAAGUGGGUGACAAAAAUGCUGAUCUUGUGCUACCUGGAUAUGGUACCAUGCCAUUGAAGAAGUUCCUCAAGGAUAACUUGGGUUUUGAGCAUGACUUCCUGCCAGCUGUCGCCGCGGCACACGUUGGCUGGGUUCUGCUUUUCUUCUUUGUGUUUGCCUAUGGAAUCAAGUUCCUCAACUUCCAAAGGAGGUAAAUAAACAGCUUCACUUCUACAAUUCUCAGUCUUAGAGAAAUAGGAUAGCAUUUUCAGUUAGUCAAGGAUGAGGGAAACAAAACAGUUGCCCAUUUUUGUGUAUUAUGGUAUUCUUUUGUCCUGGUUUUUCUACAUGAGCGGCUACAGUUCAGGUAUAAUAGGCACAGGCAAAAUGCUUUGAUGUAAACAGAGUAUUGUUUGUAAUAUAUAAUUUACUGUAUCCAAAAUGAGAUGUAUUAUUUUUUCUUGAUCA